GGGGAAUAAGAAAUAAGAAAGACAAGAUCCCAGUCCUCACAGAGUCUUCAUCCUAGGAAGGGAUGGUGGACUCAGAGCAGAUUCUUGAUUAAUUCACCAUUUCCCAGCCAUUGGAAUAAGAAGUGCCUCUGUAGCAUUUGCUGGUGCUCACUCAGACAUCUGCCUUUAUUUUUGUGGACAAAGAAAAAUUUACAGCUGCAAGAUGUGCUCCUGGAGCUGGUGACAUCUGUGCCAUCAUCAGAGCAGACGCCUGCCUGGCAAGGAACCCAGAGGAAAGUGGAACCCAGGCUUAGAGAUGAGCCUUCCUGACAUUGUUUGAGCAUCUGGGAUCCAGCUACGUUCAGAUGGCUGGGCUUUUCCAUGUACUGAGCCAAUGAAUUUCCUUUCUCUCUUUUUAAAGCCACAUUGAGUUGGAUUUCCAUUUCUGUCACUUGCAACCCUAGCAGUUUUGUUGGAACAGUGGCCCUCACUGCUGUUUGAUUAUGGUGUGUCCUUCUUGGCCCUCCCAUCAUCCUGCGUGUGAAACCACACACUGCCAAGUAUUGCUCAAUAUUCCUGAUUGUGUUGGGUGGGCAUCCUUGCUCUGCCCUCUCUAGCUGACAGCAAGUUAGAACCAAGGCAAAUUCCUUAAUUGCUCAGAGCUGUAGUUUCCUUGAUUGUAAAAUUGCGGGUUUGGGUGGGGGUGGGGAAGACACCCUCUAUCAAGGGGCUGUUGGGAGAAUGAAACGAAGUAAUGUAUGCGUGGCAUUAACACAGUUUCAUAUUAAACAUUUGCAUUUGAGUCAUUUUUAUCACUGUUACUAUAAAUAAAAGGCAGGUUAUCACAGGCAGCAAUCCUACCUUUCUUCUCUUUGUAUCUUCCACAAUGCCUGGCUUAUAGCUGGAGGU
rnacentral:lncRNA from 10 species